AUGAACGCUGGCGGCGUGCCUAAUACAUGCAAGUCGAGCGAACGGACGAGAAGCUUGCUUCUCUGAUGUUAGCGGCGGACGGGUGAGUAACACGUGGAUAACCUACCUAUAAGACUGGGAUAACUUCGGGAAACCGGAGCUAAUACCGGAUAAUAUUUUGAACCGCAUGGUUCAAAAGUAAAAGACGGUCUUGCUGUCACUUAUAGAUGGAUCCGCGCUGCAUUAGCUAGUUGGUAAGGUAACGGCUUACCAAGGCAACGAUGCGUAGCCGACCUGAGAGGGUGAUCGGCCACACUGGAACUGAGACACGGUCCAGACUCCUACGGGAGGCAGCAGUAGGGAAUCUUCCGCAAUGGGCGAAAGCCUGACGGAGCAACGCCGCGUGAGUGAUGAAGGUCUUCGGAUCGUAAAACUCUGUUAUUAGGGAAGAACAUAUGUGUAAGUAACUGUGCACAUCUUGACGGUACCUAAUCAGAAAGCCACGGCUAACUACGUG
rnacentral:rRNA from 1 species